UACAUAGGGGGCAAGCGUUAUCCGGAUUUACUGGGUGUAAAGGGAGCGUAGACGGUUAUGCAAGUCUGAAGUGAAAGCCCAAGGCUCAACCAUGGGACUGCUUUGGAAACUGUAAAACUGGAGUGCAGGAGAGGUAAGCGGAAUUCCUAGUGUAGCGGUGAAGUGCGUAGAUAUUAGGAGGAACACCAGUGGCGAAGGCGGCUUACUGGACUGUAACUGACGUUGAGGCUCGAAGGCGUGGGGAGCAAACAGG
rnacentral:rRNA from 1 species